GAUGAGCGCUGGCGGCGUGCUUAACACAUGCAAGUCGAACGGUGAAGCAGGAGCUUGCUCCUGUGGAUCAGUGGCGAACGGGUGAGUAACACGUGAGCAAUCUGCCCUGGACUCUGGGAUAAGCGUUGGAAACGACGUCUAAUACCGGAUACGAGGCGUGGGGGCAUCCCCAACGCCUGGAAAGAACUUCGGUCCAGGAUGAGCUCGCGGCCUAUCAGGUAGUUGGUGAGGUAACGGCGCACCAAGCCGACGACGGGUAGCCGGCCUGAGAGGGUGACCGGCCACACUGGGACUGAGACACGGCCCAGACUCCUACGGGAGGCAGCAGUGGGGAAUAUUGCACAAUGGGCGCAAGCCUGAUGCAGCAACGCCGCGUGAGGGACGACGGCCUUCGGGUUGUAAACCUCUUUUAGCAGGGAAGAAGCGAAAGUGACGGUACCUGCAGAAAAAGCACCGGCUAACUACGUGCCAGCCGCCGCCGUAACAC
rnacentral:rRNA from 1 species